rnacentral:lncRNA from 1 species
UUUUCUGACAAUCCUCAUUUUGAUCCAGAAUCCUGGUAACAAGUGCAACAUCAGAUUUAGUUCCACUAGGUAUAUACUUGUCCCAGCUAAAUCCCUGUGCAACAAACUCAUCACUUUGAUCUAUUAUCCCAUAAUAAGCUUUCCUAUUGGCUUCUUCAAUCAUUUUCCCAUGAGCAGUUUGCAGUUCCUUUUGUUGAGUGGAGAAGCAGCCAUUCCUCGGAACUCGUCUCUGCCAGUAAUCUGUUGAAAUUUUUCAGCUCUCCUGCAGGCACUAGCUAAGCACCACUUCACAUCCAUCAGCUCUAGCUCUUCUGCAUCGAUUUGGUCGUAAUCUUCUUUUGUGAGCAUCGGAUUACCAAUUCUUCCUGCUAUUAAGCUUUCAUAUGACUCCAACAUGGCGACAAGAGAUGC